GCUUGCUCCUUUGACGUUAGCGGCGGACGGGUGAGUANCACGUGGAUAACCUACCUAUAAGACUGGGAUAACUUCGGGAAACCGGAGCUAAUACCCGGAUAACAUAUUGAACCGCAUGGUUCAAUAGUGAAAGGCGGCUUUGCUGUCACUUAUAGAUGGAUCCGCGCCGUAUUAGCUAGUUGGUAAGGUAACGGCUUACCAAGGCAACGAUACGUAGCCGACCUGAGAGGGUGAUCGGCCACACUGGAACUGAGACACGGUCCAGACUCCUACGGGAGGCAGCAGUAGGGAAUCUUCCGCAAUGGGCGAAAGCCUGACGGAGCAACGCCGCGUGAGUGAUGAAGGUCUUCGGAUCGUAAAACUCUGUUAUCAGGGAAGAACAAAUGUGUAAGUAACUGUGCACAUCUUGACGGUACCUGAUCAGAAAGCCACGGCUAACUACGUGCCAGCAGCCGCGGUAAUACGUAGGUGGCAAGCGUUAUCCGGAAUUAUUGGGCGUAAAGCGCGCGUAGGCGGUUUUUUAAGUCUGAUGUGAAAGCCCACGGCUCAACCGUGGAGGGUCAUUGGAAACUGGAAAACUUGAGUGCAGAAGAGGAAAGUGGAAUUCCAUGUGUAGCGGUGAAAUGCGCAGAGAUAUGGAGGAACACCAGUGGCGAAGGCGACUUUCUGGUCUGUAACUGACGCUGAUGUGCGAAAGCGUGGGGAUCAAACAGGAUUAGAUACCCCUGGUAGUCCACGCCGUAAACGAUGAGUGCUAAGUGUUAGGGGGUUUCCGCCCCUUAGUGCUGCAGCUAACGCAUUAAGCACUCCGCCUGGGGAGUACGACCGCAAGGUUGAAACUCAAAGGAAUUGACGGGGACCCGCACAAGCGGUGGAGCAUGUGGUUUAAUUCGAAGCAACGCGAAGAACCUUACCAAAUCUUGACAUCCUUUGACCNCUCUAGAGAUAGAGUUUUCCCCUUCGGGGGACAAAGUGACAGGUGGUGCAUGGUUGUCGUCAGCUCGUGUCGUGAGAUGUUGGGUUAAGUCCCGCAACGAGCGCAACCCUUAAGCUUAGUUGCCAUCAUUAAGUUGGGCACUCUAAGUUGACUGCCGGUGACAAACCGGAGGAAGGUGGGGAUGACGUCAAAUCAUCAUGCCCCUUAUGAUUUGGGCUACACACGUGCUACAAUGGACAAUACAAAGGGCAGCUAAACCGCGAGGUCAAGCAAAUCCCAUAAAGUUGUUCUCAGUUCGGAUUGUAGUCUGCAACUCGACUACAUGAAGCUGGAAUCGCUAGUAAUUCGUAGAUCAGCAUGCUACGGGAUA
rnacentral:rRNA from 1 species